rnacentral:rRNA from 1 species
AACGAACGCUGGCGGCAUGCCUAACACAUGCAAGUCGAACGGGAUCCUGGCUUCGGUCAGGUGAGAGUGGCGGACGGGUGAGUAACGCGUGGGAACCUGCCCAGUGGUGGGGGAUAACUGCGGGAAACUGCAGCUAAUACCGCAUGAGCCCGAGAGGGGAAAGAUUUAUCGCCAUUGGAGGGGCCCGCGUUCGAUUAGGUAGUUGGUGAGGUAACGGCUCACCAAGCCGACGAUCGAUAGCUGGUCUGAGAGGAUGAUCAGCCACACUGGGACUGAGAUACGGCCCAGACUCCUACGGGAGGCAGCAGUGGGGAAUAUUGGACAAUGGGCGAAAGCCUGAUCCAGCAAUGCCGCGUGAGUGAUGAAGGCCUUAGGUUGUAAAGCUCUUUACCCGGGAUGAUAAUGACAGUACCGGGAGAAUAAGCUCCGGCUAACCUCCGUGCCAGCAGCCGCGGUAAU